rnacentral:lncRNA from 1 species
ACGAAGCUCCCAGCACAGCCUGGCCGCGCGCCCCGCGUGCGUGACGUGACGUGAUGGACUCGUGCACAGCCACUUCGCCCGGAGCAGAAAUAGGUGGUGCCACGGCGACGAGCACACCGGCUCAAAAAAAAGAAAGGCGGGUGUGGAUUUUAUUCUUUUACUAAUGUGUCACAUAUGUCAUUGCUAAUGAUGGUGAUUCACACACUCCCCUCACCCCUCCCCGCGUCGUCUCCUCUAAGGCGAUAACCCUAGCCGUCGUCGUCGCGCCCCUCCCCCCCCCUCCAUCCCCUCCCCCNNNNNNNNNNNNNNNNNNNNNNNNNNNNNNNNNNNNNNNNNNNNNNNNNNNNNNNNNNNNNNNNNNNNNNNNNNNNNNNNNNNNNNNNNNNNNNNNNNNNNNNNNNNNNNNNNNNNNNNNNNNNNNNNNNNNNNNNNNNNNNNNNNNNNNNNNNNNNNNNNNNNNNNNNNNNNNNNNNNNNNNNNNNNNNNNNNNNNNNNNNNNNNNNNNNNNNNNNNNNNNNNNNNNNNNNNNNNNNNNNNNNNNNNNNNNNNNNNNNNNNNNNNNNNNNNNNNNNNNNNNNNNNNNNNNNNNNNNNNCCUCCCCCUCCGUCGCCGCCUGAGGUGUGCUCCGGUGAGCGCGCUCCACACCGAUGAAGGUGGCGGCGAGGAUCUGGCGGUUCCACAACACGCAGAGGGCCUCGGCAUCUCGGGUGGUGACCACGGGUGGCGUGUGCAAGGUGGACAUGGCGGCGGGGUCGCCUCUGUUGGUGCUAGUGUUGGGGCGCCCUUGGUCAUGCGGGUGACGAGGCGUCGGCGACCCUCGGUUGCUGGUGUGCACCACUCCCCGCAGGUUUGCCACCGCCGAGGAAGCCCACCCCCUCCACCUCGAUCUGCUCCUUCCAACACCGGAUCGGGGUCCUAGUGGCUUAGGUCGCUGCUCCCGGUUGCUGGUUGUGCGGAUCUCGUUUGGUGGGGGAACCCGUGCCGACGCGGCGGCCACACCAAAGGCGACGCCUUGGGCACCGUUCCCCUCAUUGGAGGUUGUGGUGUGGAUCCUCUCCCCCUCCUUUCGUCCCCUGCUAGGUGAAAACUUAGGUCCCCUGCUUUGGGUGGUGACGGCACGUCUGUGUCGUAUUUCUUCUGUUGGAAAUAUGCCCUNNNNNNNNNNNNNNNNNNNNNNNNNNNNNNNNNNNNNNNNNNNNNNNNNNNNNNNNNNNNNNNNNNNNNNNNNNNNNNNNNNNNNNNNNNNNNNNNNNNNNNNNNNNNNNNNNNNNNNNNNNNNNNNNNNNNNNNNNNNNNNNNNNNNNNNNNNNNNNNNNNNNNNNNNNNNNNNNNNNNNNNNNNNNNNNNNNNNNNNNNNNNNNNNNNNNNNNNNNNNNNNNNNNNNNNNNNNNNNNNNNNNNNNNNNNNNNNNNNNNNNNNNNNNNNNNNNNNNNNNNNNNNNNNNNNNNNNNNNNNNNNNNNNNNNNNNNNNNNNNNNNNNNNNNNNNNNNNNNNNNNNNNNNNNNNNNNGUCCCUAGCAAGCCUCUAGUUGGCUAGCUAGUUGAUCAAGGAUGGUCAAGGUUUUUUGACCAUAUGCAAGUGUUAUCACUUGAUAACUGGAUCACAUCAUUAGGAGAAUCAUGUGAUGGACUAGACCCAAACUAUAAACGUAGCAUAUGAUCGUGUCAUUUUGUUGCUAUCGUUUUCUGCGUGUCAAGUAUUUAUUCCUAUGACCAUGAGAUCAUAUAACUCACUGACACCGGAGGAAUACCUUGUGUGUAUCAAACGUCGGAACGUAACUGAGUGACUAUACAGGUGCUCUACAGGUAUCUCCGAAGGUGUCCGUUGAGUUAGUAUGGAUCAAGAAUGGGAUUUGUCACUCCGUGUGACGGAGAGGUAUCUCGGGGCCCACUUGGUAAUACAACAUCACAAACAAGUCUUGCAAGCAAUGUGACUAAGUGUAAGUCACGAGAUCUUGUAUUACGGAACGAGUAAAGGGAAUUGCUGGUAACGAGAUUGAAAUAGGUAUACGGAUACCGACGAUCGAAUCUCAGGCAAGUAACAUACCGAAUGACAAAGGGAAUGACAUACGGGAUUAUAUGAAUCCCUGGCAUUGAGGUUCAACCGAUAAGAUCUUCGGAGAAUAUGUAGGAUCCAAUAUGGGCAUACAGGAACCGCUAUUGGAUAUUGACCGAGGAGUGUCUCGGGUCAUGUCUACAUAGUUCUCGAACCCGCAGGGUUUGCACACUUAAGGUUCGAUGAUGUUUUAGUAUAGUUGAGUUAUAUGUGUGGUUGCCGAAUGUUGUUCGGAGUCCCGGAUGAGAUCACAGACAUCACGAGGGUUUCCGGAAUGGUCCGGAAACGAAGAAUGAUAUAUAGGAUGGUUUCAUUUGGUCACCAAAAAGUUUCGGGCAUUACCAGCAGUGUACAGGGAGUGACGAAUGGGUUCCGGGUAUUCACCGGGAGGGGCCCACCCACCCGGGAGUGAGCCCAAUGACCCUAGGGUGGCGCACCAGCCCUUAGUGGGCUGGUGAGGCCAUCCCAAUAGGGCGAUGGUGCCACAAGUGGAAAAACACCAAAGGAAAGGGGGGAAAAGGAAAGAGGGAGGUGGGAAGGAAGGAGUGGACUCAUUCCCCCAAACCGAAUUAGAGUGGGAGUCCACCUCCUCCCCUUUGGUCGGCGCACCUUGGGGCUCCUUGAGCCCCAAGGCUAGCCCCUCCCCUCCUCCUAUAUAUACUGGUGGUUUUAAGGCUUUUGAGACACAACUUUGCCACGUGCAACUCAAAUCUAUACCACGUAGUUUUACCUCUAUAUCGGAUUUCUACGGAGCUCGGGCGGAGCCCUGCAGGAGUAGAUCAUCACCACCACCGGAGAGCUGCCACACUGCCGGAGAACUCAUCUACUUCUCCAUCUCUCUUGCUGGAUCAAGAAGGCCGAGAUCGUCAUCGAGCUGUACGUGUGCUGAAUGCGGAGGUGCCGUCCGUUUGGCGCUAGAUCGAAACAGAUCAUGGGACGGAUCGUGGGACGACGGUGAUUUGAAUCACGAAGCUAUACCACUACAUCAACCACGUUUCUUAACGCUUCCCGCUUAGCGAUCUACAAGGGUACGUAGAUCUAAUCUCCUCUUGUAGAUGGACAUCACCAUGAUAGGUCUUCGUGUGCGUAGGAAAAUUUUUGUUUCGCAUGCAACGUUCCCCAACAAUGGCAUCAUGAGCUAGGUUCAUGCGUAGAUGUUAUCUCGAGUAGAACACAAAAGGUUUUGUGGAUGUUGAUGUUCGAUUUGCUGCCCUCCUUAUUCUUUUCUUGAUUUCGUGGUAUUGUUGGAUUGAAGCGGCCCGGACCGACAUUACUCGUAUGCUUACGAGAGACUGGUUUCAUCGACUCACAUGCAACUCGUUGCAUAAAGAUGACUAGCGGGUGUCGGUUUCUUCAACUUUAGUUGAAUUGGUUUUAACCGAGGCGGUCCUUGGAGAGAGGUUAAAUAGCAAUUUGCACAUCUCCGUUGUGGUUUUUGCGUAAGUAAGAUGCGAUCAUACUAGAUACCUAUAGCAGCCACGUAAAACAUGCAACAACAAAUUAGAGGACGUCUAACUUGUUUUUGCAGGGUAUGCUUGUGAUAUGAUAUGGCCAAUGACGUGAUGUGAUAUAUUGGAUGUAUGAGAUGAUCAUGUUGUAAUAGUUAAUAUCGACUUCCACGUCGAUGCUACGACAACCGACAGGAGCUAUAGGGUUGUCUUUAAACUAACAUUUGUGUUUGCAGAUGCGUUUACUAUAUUGCUAGGUCGUAGCUUUAGUAGUAAUAGCAUAGAUAGCAUGACAACUUCGAUGGCGGCACGAUGAUGGAGAUCAUGAUGAUGGAUAUCAUGGUGUGGCGCCGGUGACAAGAAGAUUAUGUCGGUGCUUUGGUGAUGGAGAUCAAGAAGCACAAGAUGAGGCCAUAUCAUGUCACUUAUGAAUUGCAUGUGAUGUUAAUCCUUUUAUGCACCUUAUUUUGCAUAGAACGACGGUAGCAUUAUAAGGUGAUCUCUCACUAAAAUUUCAAGAUGAAAUUGUGUUCUCCCCGACUGUGCACCGUGGCGACAAUUCGUCGUUUCGAGACACCACGUGAUGAUCGGGUGUGAUCGACUCAACGUUCACAUACAACGGGUCCAAAACAGUUGCACACGUGGAACACUCGUGUUAAACUUGACGAGCCUAGCAUGUGCAGACAUGGCCUCGGAACACAUGAGACCGAAAGGUCGAGCAUGAAUCGUAUAGUUGAUAUGAUCAGCAUAGAGAUGCUUACCACUAAAACUAUUCUCAACUCACGUGAUGCUCGGACUUGAGUUAGUGAAUUUGGAUCAUGUACCACUCAAAUGACUAGAGAUAUGUAAUUUUUGAGUGGGAGUUUAUUAGUAAUUUGAUUAGUUAAACUCUAAUUAUCUUAAACAUAGUCUAAGUCCACUUUGCAAUAUUUGUGUUGUAGAUCAAUGGCUCACGCAGUAGCAACCCUGAAUUUUAAUACGUUCCUAGAGAAAGCUAAGUUGAAAGAUGAUGGAAGCAACUUUGUAGACUGGGCUCGUAAUCUAAAGCUGCUCCUACAAGCUGGGAAGAAGGAUUGUGUCCUUAAUGCUGCGCUAGGAGAUGAACCACCCGCUACGUCUAGCCAAGAUGUUUUGAACGAGUGGUUAACACGUAAGGAGGACUACUCAGUAGUUCAAUGUGUAGUCUUGUAUGGCUUGGAACCGGGACUUCAACGUCACUUUGAGCGUCAUGGAGCAUAUGAGAUACUAGAGCAGUUGAAGUUUAUCUUUUAGAAGAACGCACAGAUCGAGAGGUAUGAGACCUUCGAUAAAUUAUAUGCUUGCAAGAUGGAGGAGAAUUCGUCUGUUAGUGAACAUGUGCUCAAAAUGUCUGGAUACUCAAACCGUCUAGCUGAGCUGGGGAUUGAACUCCCACAAGAGGCUAUCACUGAUAGAAUUAUUCAAUCACUGCCACCUAGCUAUAAGAGCUUUGUGUUGAACUAUAACAUGCAAGGGAUGAACAAGUCACCUCGCGAGUUAUUCGCGAUGCUGAAAGUCACAGAGUCAGAACUCCGGAAAGAGCAUCAAGUGUUGAUGGUCAAUAAGACCACUGGUUUCAAGAGAAACGACAAAGGCAAGAAGGGUAACUCCAAGAAGAGCGGCAAGCCUGUUGCCAAUCCGACGAAGAAACCCAAGGAUGGACCUAAGCCUGAAACAGAGUGUUACUAUUGCAAGGGAAUGGGUCACUAGAAGCGCAACUGCCCCAAGUAUUUGGCUGAUAAGAAGGCGGCCAAGGAAAAAUCAGGUAUAUUUGAUAUAGAUGUUAUUGAUGUGUACUUAACCAACUCUCGUAGUAGUGCCUGGGUAUUUGAUACGGGUUCUGUUGCUCAUAUUUGCAACUCGAAGCAGGAACUGCGGAAUAAACAAAGGAUGGCGAAAGGACGAAGUGACGAUGCGCGUGGGAAAUGGUUCCAAGGUUUAUGCAAUCGCCGUCGGCAUAGUCUCACUUCAGUUACCAUCAGGAUUAGUUAUGAACUUAAAUAAUUUUUAUUUAGUGCCUGCGUUAAGCAUGAACAUUAUAUAUGGAUCUUGUUUAUUGCGAGACGGUUACUCGUUUAAGUCAGAGAAUAAUGGUUGUUCUAUUUCUAUGAGUAAUAUCUUUUAUGGUCAUGCACCCAAUGUGUGACGAUUGUUCAUAUUGAAUCUUGAUAGCAAUGAUACACAUAUACAUAACAUUGAGACCAAAAGAUGUAGAGUUAACAAUGAUAGCGCCAUGUUUUUGUGGCACUGCCGCUUAGGUCAUAUUUGUGUAAAGCGCAUGAAGAAACUCCAUUCCGAUGGGCUUUUGGAGUCACUUGAUUUUGAAUCACUUGACACGUGCGAACCAUGCCUCAUGGGCAAGAUGACUAAGACUCCGUUCUCCGGAACAAUGGAGCGUGCAAGUGACUUGCUGGAAAUCAUACAUACCGAUGUGUGCGGUCCGAUGAGUGUGGAGGCGCGCGGCGGAUAUCGUUAUUUUCUCACCUUCACUGACGAUUUGAGUAGGUAUGGAUAUAUCUACUUGAUGAAGCACAAGUCUGAAACGUUUUAGAAGUUCAAGGAAUUUCAGAGUGAAGUUGAAAAUCAUCGUAACAAGAAGAUCAAGUUCCUACGUUCUGAUCGUGGGGGUGAAUAUCUGAGUUUCGAGUUUGGUGCUCACCUAAGACAAUGUGGAAUUGUUUCACAGUCAACACCGCCUGGAACACCACAACGUAAUGGUGUGUCCGAACGUCGUAAUCGUACUUUGUUAGAAAUGGUGCGACCUAUGAUGUCUCUUACCGAUUUGCCGUUAUCGUUUUGGGGUUAUGCAUUAGAGACAACUGCAUUCACUUUAAAUAGGGCACCAUCAAAAUCCGUUGAGACGACACCAUACGAGCUGUAGUAUGGCAAAAGACUAAAGUUGUCGUUUCUUAAAGUUUGGGGAUGUGAUGCUUAUGUCAAAAAACUUCAGCCUGAAAAGCUGGAACCCAAAGCGGAAAAGUGCGUCUUCAUAGGUUACCCAAAGGAGACAGUUGGGUACACCUUCUAUCUCAAAACCGAGGGCAAAGUGUUUGUUGCUAAGAACGGAGCUUUUCUUGAGAAGGAGUUUCUCUCGAAAGAAUUGAGUGGGAGGAAGAUAGAACUUGAUGAGGUUGUCGAACCUCUAAUCCCUCUAGAUGGUGGCACAAGGCAGGGGAACCUUUGUCGAAGCGAUGCCGGUUGAGGAGGAAGUUAAUGAUGAUGAUCAUGAAACUUCGGAUCAAGUUCCUAUCGGACCUCGCAGGUCGACAAGAUCACGUACUACUCCUGAGUGGUACGGUAAUAUUGGCUUAUCAAUCAUGUUGUUAGACAACAAUGAACCUGCGAAUUAUGAAGAAGCAAUGGUGGGCCCGGAUUCCAACAAAUGGCUGGAGGCCAUGAAGUACGAUAUAGGAUCUAUGUAUGAAAACAAAGUGUGGACUUUGGAAGUAUUACCUGAAGGCCGCAAGGCUAUUCAGAACAAAUGGAUCUUUAAGAAGAAGACGGACGCAUACGGUAAUGUGACCGUUUAUAAAGCUCGACUUGUGGCAAAGGGUUUUUCACAAGUUCAAGGAGUUGACUACGAUGAGACAUUCUCACCGGUAGCGAUGCUUAAGUCCGUCGGAAUCAUGUUAGCAAUAGCUACAUAUUUCGAUUAUGAAAUCUGGCAGAUGGAUGUCAAAACGGCGUUCCUUAACGGUUUUCUUAAGGAAGAGUUGUAUAUGAUGCAACACGAAGGUUUUGUCGAUCCAGAGAAUGCUAGCAAAGUAUGCAAGCUCCACCGAUCCAUUUAUGGACUGGUGCAAGCAUCUCGGAGUUGGAAUAAGCGCUUUGAUGAGGUGAUCAAAGCAUUUGGGUUUACACAAGUGGUUGGAGAAUCUUGUAUUUACAAGAAAGUGAGUGGGAGCUUUGUGGCAUUUCUAAUAUUACAUUUAUAUUUGGAUGACAUAUUGCUGAUUGCAAAUGACGUGGGGUUUUUUGGAGAGCGUAAAGGAUUACUUGAAUAAAAGUUUCUCUAUGAAGGACCUAGGAGAAGCUGCUUACAUUCUAGGCAUUAAGAUCUAGAGGGAUAGAUCGAGAUGUCUGAUAGGACUUUCACAAAGCACAUACCUUGAUAAAGUUUUGAAGAAGUUCAAAAUGGAACAGUCCAAGAAGGGGUUCUUGUCAGUGUUACAAGGUAUAAAAUUGAGUAAGACUCAGUGCCCAGCAACUGCGGAAGAUAGAGAACAGAUGAGUUCCGUCCCCUAUGCUUCAGUCAUAGGUUUUGUCAUGUAUGCAAUGUUAUGCACUAGACCGGACGUCAGCUUGGCCAUAAGUAUGGCAGGCAGGUUUCAAAGUAAUCCAGGAGUGGAUCACUGGAUGACGGUCAAUAAUAUUCUGAAGUACCUUAAAAGGACUAAGGAAAUGUUUCUCGUUUAUGGAGGUGACGAAGAGCUCGUCGUAAAGGGUUACGUCGACGCAAGCUUUGACACUAAUCCGGAUGACUCUAAGUCUCAAACCAGAUACAUAUUUAUUCUUAAUGGGGGUGCGGUAAGCUGGUGCAGUUCCAAGCAAAGCAUCAUAGCAGAUUCUACAUGUGAAGCGGAGUACAUGGUUGCCUCAGAGGCAGCUAAGGAGGGUGUCUGGAUGAAGCAGUUCAUGAGGGAUCUUGGAGUUGUGCCGAGCGCACUAAAUCCAAUAACUAUGUUCUGUGACAACACUGGUGCCAUUGCUUUAGCAAAGAAACCAAGGUUUCACAAGAAGACCAGGCACAUCAAACGACGCUUCAACCUCAUCCACGACUACGUCGAAGGAGAGGACGUAAAUAUUUGCAAAGUGCACACGGAUCUGAAUGUAGCAGAUCCGCUGACUAAACCUCUUCCACGGGCAAAACAUGAUCAACACCAGAAAUGUAUGGGUGUUAGAUUUAUUACAAUGUAAAUCGCAUGGCGAUGUGAGGACUAGAUUAUUGACUCUAGUGCAAGUGGGAGACUGUUGGAAAUAUGCCCUAGAGGCAAUGAUAAAAUAGUUAUUACUAUAUUUCCUGUUUUAAGAUAAUCGUUUAUUAUCCAUGCUAUAAUUGUAUUGAAUGAAAACAUAGAUACAUAUGUGGAUACAUAGACAAAACAAUGUCCCUAGCAAGCCUCUACUUGGCUAGCCAGUUGAUGAAGGAUGGUCAAGGUUUUCUGACCAUAUGCAAAUGUUGUCACUUGAUAACUGGAUCACAUCAUUAGGAGAAUCAUGUGAUGGACUAGACCCAAACUAUAAACGUAGCAUGUGAUCGUGUCAUUUUGUUGCUAUUGUUUUCUGUGUGUCAAGUAUUUAUUCCUAUGACCAUGAGAUCAUAUAACUCACUGACACUAGAGGAAUACCUUGUGUGUAUAAAACGUGGCAACGUAACUGGGUGACUAUAAAGGUGCUCUACAAGUAUCUCCGAAGGUGUCUGUUAGUUAGUAUGGAUCAAGACUGGGAUUUGUCACUCCGUGUGACGGAGAGGUAUCUCGGGGCCCACUCGAUAAUACAACAUCACAAACAAGCCUUGAAAGCAAUGUGACUAAGUGUAAGUCACAGGAUCUUGUAUUACGGAACGAGUAAAGAGACUUGCCGGUAACGAGAUUGAAAUAGGUAUACGGAUACCGACGAUCGAAUCUUGGGCAAGUAACAUACGGAAGGACAAAGGGAAUGACAUACGGGAUUAUAUGAAUCCCUGGAACUGAGGUUCAACCGAUAAGAUCUUCGGAGAAUAUGUAGGACCCAAUAUGGGCAUCCAGGUCCCGCUAUUGGAUAUUGACCGAGGAGUGUCUCGGGUCAUGUCUACAUAGUUCUCGAACCCGCAGGGUCUGCACACUUAAGGUUCGAUGAUGUUUUAGUAUAGUUGAGUUAUAUGUGUGGUUGCUGAAUGUUGUUCAGAGUCCCGGAUAAGAUCACAGACGCCACGAGGGUUUCCAGAAUGGUCCGGAAACAAAGAUUGAUAUAUAGGAUGGUUUCAUUUGGUCAUCGGAAAGUUUCGGGCGUUACGACAGUGUACCCGGAGUGACGAAUGGGUUUCGGGUAUUCACUGGGAGGGGCCCACCCACUCGAGAGUGAGCCGAGUGACCCUAGGGUGGUGCACCAGCCCUUAGUGGGCUGGUGAGGCCAGCCCAAUAGGGCCAUGGCACCACAAGUGGAAAAACACCAAAGGAAAGGAAAAAAGGACAGAGGGAGGUGGGAAGGAAGGUGUGGACUCCUUCCCCCAAACCGAAUUGGGGUGGGAGUCCACCUCCUCCCCUUCAAUCGACGCAGCUUGGGGCUCCUUGAUCCCCAAGGCUAGCCCCUCCCCUCCUCCUAUAUAUACUGGUGGUUUUAGGGCUUUUGAGACACAACUUUGCCACCUGCAACUCAAACCUAUACCACAUAGUUUUACCUCUAGAUCGGAUUUCUGCGGAGCUCGGGCGGAGCCGUGCAGGAGUAGAUCAUCACCACCACCAGAGCGCCGUCACGCUGCCGGAGAACUCAUCUACUUCUCCGUCUCUCUUGCUCGAUCAAGAAGGUCGAGAUCGUCAUCGAGCUGUACGUGUGCUGAACACGGAGGUGUCGUCCGUUCGGCGCUAGAUCGGAACGGAUCGUGGGACAGAUCGUGGGAUGACGGUGAUUUGAAUCACGAAGUUGUACCACUACAUCAACCGCAUUUCUUAACGCUUUCUACUUAGCGAUCUACAAGGGUACGUAGAUCUAAUCUCCUCUCGUAGAUGGACAUCACCAUGAUAGGUCUUCGUGUGCGUAGGAAUUUUUUGUUUCCCAUGCAACCUUCCCCAACAGUGGCAUCAUGAGCUAGGUUCAUGCGUAGAUGUUAUCUCGAGUAGAACAAAAGGUUUUGUGGACGUUGAUGUUCGAUUUUCUGCCCUCCUUAGUCUUUUCUCGAUUCGGCAGUAUUGUUGGAUUGAAGCGGCCCGGACCGACAUUACUCGUACGCUUACGAGAGACUGGUUUCAUCGACUGACAUGCAACUCGUUGCAUAAAGAUGACUAGCGGGUGUCGGUUUCUUCAACUUUAGUUGAAUUGGUUUUGACCGAGGCGGUCCUUGGAGAGAGGUUAAAUAGCAAUUUGCACAUCUCCGUUGUGGUUUUUGCGUAAGUAAGAUGCAAUCAUACUACAUACCCAUAGCAGCCACGUAAAACAUGCAACAACAAAUUAGAGGACGUCUAACUUGUUUUUGAAGGGUAUGCUUGUGAUAUGAUAUGGCCAAUGACGUGAUGUAAUAUAUUGGAUGUAUGACAUGAUCAUGUUGUAAAAGUUAAUAUCUACUUGCACGUCGAAUCUACGGUAACCAGCAAAAGCCAUAGGGUUGUCUUUAAACUAAUGUUUGUGUUUGCAGAUGCGUUUACUAUAUUGCUAGGUUGUAGCUUUAGUAGUAAUAGCAUAGAUAUCACGACAACCUCAAUGGCGGCACGAUGAUGGAGAUCAUGAUGAUGGAGAUCAUGGUGUGGCGCCGGUGACAAGAAGAUCAUGUUGGUGCUUUGGUUAUGGAGAUCAAGAAGCACAAGAUGAUGGCAUGUCACUUAUGAAUUGCAUGUGAUGUUAAUCCUUUUAUGCACCUUAUUUUGCUUAGAACGACGGUAGUAUUAUAAGGGGAUCUCUUACUAAAAUUUCAAGAUGAAAUUGUGUCUCCCCGACUGUGCACCGUUGCGACAGUUCAUCAUUUCGAGACACCACGUGAUGAUCGGGUGUGAUAGACUCAACGUUCACAUACAACGGGUCCAAAACAGUUGCACAAGCGGAACACUCGGGUUAAACUUGACAAGCCUAGAAUGUGCAGACAUGGCCUCGGAACACAUGAGACCGAAAGGUCGAGCAUGAAUCGUAUAGUUGAUAUGAUUAGCAUAGAGAUGCUUACCACUGAAACUAUUCUCAACUCACGUGAUGAUCGGACUUGAGUUAGUGAAUUUGGAUCAUGUACCACUCAAAUGACUAGAGAGAUGUACUUUUUGAGUGGGAGUUUAUCAGUAAUUUGAUUAGUUAAACUCUAAUUAUCUUAAACAUAGUCUAAGUUCACUUUGCAAUAUUUGUGUUGUAGAUCAAUGGCUCACGCAGUAGCAACCCUGAAUUUUAAUACGUUCCUAGAGAAAGCUAAGUUCAAAGAUGAUGGAAGCAACUUUGUAGACUAGGCUCGUAAUCUAAAGUUGCACCUGCAAGCUGGGAAGAAGGAUUAUGUCCUUAAUGUUGCGCUAGGAGAUGAACCACCCGCUAUGUCUAGCCAAGAUGUUUUGAACGCCUGGUUAACACGUAAGGAGGACUACUCAAAAGUUCAAUCUGUAGUCUUGUAUGGCUUGGAACCGGGACUUCAAUGUCGCUUUGAGCAUCAUGGAGCAUAUGAGAUGUUCCAGGAGUUGAAGUUUAUCUUUCAUAAGAACGCCCAGAUCGAGAGGUAUGAGACCUCCGAUAAAUUCUAUGCUUGCAAGAUGGAGGAGAAUUCGUAUGUCAGUGAACAUGUGCUCAAAAUGUUUGGGUACUCAAAUCGUCUAGCUGAGCUGGGGAUUGAACUCCCGCAAGAGGCUAUCACUGACAAAAUUCUUCAAUCAUUGCCACCUAGCUAUAAGAGCUUUGGGUUGAACUAUAACAUGCAAUGGAUGAACAAGUCACCUGACGAGUUAUUCGCGAUGCUGAAAGUCGCAGAGGCGGAACUCCGAAAAGAGCAUCAAGUGUUGAUGGUCAAUAAGACCACUGGUUUCAAGAGAAACGGCAAAGGCAAGAAGGGUAACUCCAAGAAGAGUGGCAAGCGUGUUGCCAAUCCGACGAAGAAACCCAAGGCUGGACCUAAUCCUGAAACAGAGUGUUAUUAUUGGGAAUGGGUCACUGGAAGCGCAACUGCCCCAAGUAUUUGGCUGAUAAGAAUGCGGCCAAGGAAAAAUUAGGUAUAUUUGAUAUACAUGUUAUUGAAGUGUACUUAACCAACUCUCGUAGUAGUGCAUGGGUAUUUGAUACCGGUUCUGUUGCUCAUAUUUGCAACUCGAAGCAGGAACUGCGGAAUAAACGAAGGCUGGCGAAGGAUGAAGUGACGAUGCGCGUGGGAAAUGGUUCCAAGGUUGAUGCAAUCGCCGUUGGCAUAGUCUCACUUCAGUUACCAUCAGGAUUAGUUAUGAACUUAAAUAAUUGUUAUUUAGUGUCUGUGUUAAGCAUGAACAUUAUAUUUGGAUCUUGUUUAUUGCACCGUCCGGGAAUCGCAGGGGCGGCGAGAGAGUUUGGUUGUGGAUGUGAUGAUGGCGGGGGUGAGCUUGGAUUGUGUUAUUCAUUAUCUCUUCAUAGGUUGCAGGCUUCGAGGGUCCGUGACGUGGUCGCCGGAGCGAGAGGGUAUCGGGUUCCCCUCUACGAUGCCAACGGUAUACCUUUUGGUAGGAGCCAUGUGCUUUGGAGAUUCAAGUUCUCGCGUUUGACCUGCUCAUAGUUGUGCCCCUUGCUUCUGUGACUAUGACCGGUAGCUCUCGCCCUUCGGUGUGUCUACGCCACAGACGACGACGAUGCUCGUGAGUACCGUGUCCCGGGCUUGUGGGUGUGCUCUACUUACUUCUUCCUAUUCAGCUUGGAUGCCAACCAUUUGGGUUCUAGGGUGAACCAAGCUGUCGGAUGUCGGUGCUGCAUCCUUUGAGCCAGGAUGAAAGGGAAGGUUCCCUUUGCAGCGGCGGUAACAAAUGGUGGUCUGGUCCAUUUCUGUCUUCGAGGGUGGUUGUGAUCACGAAGCUUGCGCGAUUAUGCAUUCUUCCCUAGCACAGAGUUUAGUUUUGUUGGUGUAGGUCGUCCUGUAGGAUGUUAGCUGCAGUGUGGUGAUGUUUCGGCCCGCUUUUGUUGUUGCCUUCAGUAGUUGUGGCCUUUAUGAACUUGUGGCGUUUCAUGGCCGCAAAAUCUAAGUACUGAAUAGGAAGAAUAGGGUCACUAGACUGCGAUGACACACUACACUUAGAUAAACGGGAGGCAUAAAUCCUGCCAUAAAAAUGGCCGCUGUCAGAGUUGCAUUGCAAUGUGCAUGCUAGGAUUGCUCCAAGAUUAUAGCAUUUAAUUACAGUUAGCACAAUAUGUAGGAGACUCAAGUCUGGGGCACAUAAGGUACUACAAUCCUGCUUGCCCACUAUGCAUUUUCCAUUAAAGAGUGCAAGGUAACAAAUUGAAGGAGUAUGCAUGCUAUUUAUUCUACCUUUAGUUACUCCCCUAUCCUCACUAAAGCAAAGACUAGUUAAAAAUGCAUCAUAUUUGGAUUUUGGUGGUUCGCCUAGAGAACCCCAAGAUGGAAUUUUACAUGCAUGAGAUAAAUCAUCUAGAGACAAGGUGAAGGCAUUAUCAUAGAGGUUAAAGGAGACUCUAAAUCUUCGAGGAUAAAAUUUAAACCCCUUAGUGAAAGUUUUGGUAUGAUAAUGUUGCGCGCACUUAUCUGAGAUGAAGGGUGCGAGAUCAGUAUUAUGAAUGUAUUGUUCAAACUCUUCCCUAAUGCCCGCGCACAACAUGAAGCCAUCACUUGGCCAAAGGCACGAUUUGGUGUGGGCUUCUCGCAUCAAGCUUUCACUUGGCUCAGCAUAAGACCGUUGUAUCGGAGCCUCACUCGAAGAUGCCUCCGAGGACUUCCUCCUCAAAGAAUUCCUCUUGAACCAUCUCAUUAUUCCUAUGUACAAAUUUUUGAAUUUUUUGGGUCACAACAUAAAGUUAACAAAACUUCACAAGAAUGAUUGCAACUACUCAUAAGGAUGCCUAGAGCCUAAAACAAGCAUUCAAACUACUUGGAACUUCAAGAAUUUGACAUGCAAGCUCAUCUACAGCAGCACCUAGAGUAUCUAAUUACUUCUUAGAUAAACUACUAAAUCAAGAACUAAUUCGAGGAGUGGGGAAGUUUCAUACCAAGGAGUAAUCCCCCAAAACAGUUUCAGAAAUGGAGUUUCGAGCAAAGAGAUCAAAACCCGCGAGUUUGAGAGCAAGAACACGGGAGAGAGAGAUACAAGGAUUUUUCGUGGAGGUAGGUCAUGAAGUGAGCUGAAGGGAUAAGUGAGGGGACCCCGAGGGGUCCACUACCCACUAGGGCGCGCCUCGUGGGGGUGGCGCGCCUCGUGGGGGUGGCGCGCCCUGGUGUCUAGUGGACACCUCGGACACCCCCCCUGUGAUGUUUUUAGUGCCACAUAUUCUCAAAUAUUCAGAAAAAAAAUCAUGUGAAAGUUUCAGGUCAUUUGGAGAACUUUUAUUUUGGGCACUUUUUAUUGCACAAAAGAUUUUAAAAAAAAGAUAAGCAUGGCAUUUAUUGUAUUUAAAUAAAAAUAACAUGAAAAUAAAGUGGGUAUAGAAAGUUGUGCCUACUAAAUUCAUCGACCUCAUGCCUCUCGAAAAUGAUCCAUUAACAAGGUUGAUCAAGUCUUAUUAACAACCACUUCCAAUUAGCAUGAACCCGAAGAAUUUUCGUAAAACACUAAGUUACCUCAACGGGGAUGUGCAUAUCCCCAACAAUAAGUAUUUCAUAUUUAUUUUUGGUUGUAGGUAGAGGUAGUUGAAAACUUCCAUUGGUUAUAGUCGGAGAUUUUUCAAUAACAUUAACACCAUUCACUUGGAAUUGUUUCCUCGGAAAAUGCACUGUAUGUUCUUUACCAUUGACAUGUUAAGUGACUUUGCUUUUAUUGCAAUCAAUAAUAUCCCGUGUAGUAUUUAAGAAAGGUCUACGAAGGAUAAUCGACAUGUUGUCAUCCUCAUGCAUAUCAAGUAUAACAAAGUCUGUCAAGAUAGUAACAUUUGCAACAACAACGGGUACAUCCUCACAAAUACCAAUAGGUAUGGCACUUGAUUUGUCACCCAUUUGCAAUGAAAUUUCAGUAGGUGUGAGUUUAUUCAAGUCAAGUCUUUUGAAUAAAGAGACAUGCAUAAUACUAACACCACCUCCUAGAUCACAUAAAGCAGUUUUCACAUAGUUUCUUUUGAUGGAACAUGGUACAGUUGGUAUUCCUGGAUCUCCUAGUUUUUUUGGUACUCCAUCCUUAAAAUAGUAAUUAGCAAGCAUGAUGUAGAUUUGAGAUUCAAGUAUUUUCCUUUUAUUAGUGAUGAUACCUUUCAUAUACUUAGCAUAAGGGGGCAUAUUUAAAAGAUCAGUUAAACGAGUACGCAAAAGACUGGCUUAAGCAUUUCAGCAAAGCGUUCAAAUUCUUCAUCAUCUUUUUUCUUAGUUGGUUUAGGUGGAUAAGGCAUGCAUUUUUGAACCCAUGGCUCUCUUUCUUUGACAUGCUUUCUAGCAAAAAAAUCUCUUAGGUUGUGGGUUAUCAAGAUCAACAAUAGGGUUUGUCUCAACAUCAUUAUCUGGUUCUUUAUCAUUAUUAGGUUGAGCAUGUACAUGAGCAUCAUCAUUAUCAUUUUCAUUAUCACUAGGUGAAUGCUCACUACCAUAUUGAGUUUCAGCAUCACAAAUAGAGAUAUCAUUUGCAUUAUCAGAAGGUUUUUCCGCUUCAGGUUCACUAGAAGUAUGCAAGAUCCUAUCAUUUUUCUUUUUAUUUUUCCUCCUAGAAGGACUAGGUGUAUCAAUAUUAAUUCUUUGUAAAUCUUGUUCAUUUCUUUUAGGAUGGCCUUCUGGAUAUAGUGGAUCUUGAGUCAUUGUUCCUCCUCUAGUCAUUACUCUAACAACAUGAUCAUUCAUAUUAUUAUUCAUUUCAUGAAGUAGCUCACUUUGGGAUUUAGCAACUUGUUAUAGUUGGGUUUGAACCAUAGAAGCAUGUGAAAAGGACGUGGAUGUCGCCUAGAGGGGGGGUGAAUAGGCGCUUUAAAAUAGUUAAGGUUUAGGCUUGAACAAAUGCGGAAUAAAACUAACGUUUAAUAUGUCAAGCACAAAACCCAAAAAACAACUAGGCUCACCUAUGUGCACCAACAACUUAUGCUAAGCAAGAUAAACAACUAAGUGAUAGCAAGAUAUAUUACAAUAAACAAUAUGUCUAUCACAAAGUAAAGUGCAUAAGUAAAUGGUUCGGGUAAGAGAUAACCGAGGCACGGGGAGACGAUGAUGUAUCCCAAAGUUCACACCCUUGCGGAUGCUAAUCUCCGUUAGAGCGGUGUGGAGGCACAAUGCUCCCCAAGAUGCCACUAAGGCCACCGUAAUCUCCUCACGCCCUCGCACAAUGCAAGGUGCCGUAAUUCCACUAAGGGACCCUUGAGGGCGGUCACCGAACCCGUACAAAUGGCAACCCUUGGGGGUGGUCACCGAACCCGUACAUGUGGCAACCCUUGGGGGCGGUUACCGGUACCCGUACAAAUUGCUCGGGGCAAUAUCCACAACCUAAUUGGAGACCCCGACGCUUCCCGGAGCUUCACACCACACUGAUUGAGCUCCGAGACACCACCAAGCUUCUAGGACGCCAAAGCAUCCACGAAGAACAAUAUCAAGGGUACUAAGUACCAAAGGUAGCAAGCUUCUCAACUUCUCACUUCCACGUAUCACCGUGGAGAACUCAAACCGAUGCAACUAAUGCAAUGGCAAGAACACACGAAGUGGUCAAGUCCCUCACACUCAAAUCCCUCCACAACACCAAAAGCUAUGGAGAAAUAUGAGAGGAAGAACAAGGAGCUCACAAAGAACUCCAAGAUCAAGAUCCAAGGGGUUCCCCUCACAUAGAGGAGAAAGUGAUUGGUGGAGAUGUGGAUCUAGAUCUCCUCUCUCUUUUCCCUCAAGAACAAGCAAGAAUCAUUGGAGGGAUAGAGAGUAAUCAAGCUCUAAGAAUGUCAACAAUGGAGGUAGAACAAGAGCUCAACGGAUGGAUAAGACCAAGGGGGAAGAAGACCCCCUUUAUAUAGUGGGGGAAAGAAUCAGACUGUUACCCCCACUCUCUGCCCGAGCUCCAGCGGUACUACCGCUGGCUGCAGCGGUACUAGUGGGGGAAAGAAUCAGACUGUUACCCCCACUCUCUGCCCGAGCUCCAGCGGUACUACCGCUGGCUGCAGCGGUACUACCGCUGGCACUCCAGCGGUACUACCGCCAGCUAGCGGUACUACCGCUGGCUGCAGCGGUACUACCGAUGGCACUCCAGCGGUACUACCGCUGGCCCCAGCGGUACUACCGCUGGGCCCCUGGUAGUGCAAGGGCACUACCACCGCGAAGAAAGUCUUCACAAAAAGGUCCGUCCACGAACAACCGCUAGGCAGGCGGUACUAAGAUCCUGGAGCGGUACUACCGUUGACCAGGGGCGGUACUACCGCUAGGGCCAGCGGUACUACCGCCAACUCUAGCGGUACUACCGCUAGGUCCAGCGGUACUACCGCUCGCCACUGAAACAACCAUAACUUUUGCAUACGAGCUCCGAAUCGAGCAAACCCAAGCUUGUUGGAUUCAGGACGACAAGGGCUAUCCAAACAGCGACCCAAGCUUGUUNNNNNNNNNNNNNNNNNNNNNNNNNNNNNNNNNNNNNNNNNNNNNNNNNNNNNNNNNNNNNNNNNNNNNNNNNNNNNNNNNNNNNNNNNNNNNNNNNNNNGGAUGGGAGGGGGGGGGGAGGGCGCGACGACGACGGCUAGGGUUAUCGCCUUAGAGGAGACGACGCGGGGAGGGGUGAGGGGAGUGUGUGAAUCACCAUCAUUAGCAAUGACAUAUGUGACACAUUAGUAAAAGAAUAAAAUCCACACCCGCCUUUCUUUUUUUUGAGCCGGUGUGCUCGUCGCCGUGGCACCACCUAUUUCUGCUCCGGGCGAAGUGGCUGUGCACGAGUCCAUCACGUCACGUCACGCACGCGGGGCGCGCGGCCAGGCUGUGCUGGGAGCUUCGUCCCCCUCCACUCCCGUCAGCUCCCCCGGCCCUCCCCCCGCCCCGCCCCGCCCCGCCCCCACUCCGCCGCCGACGUAAGCACCACCCAGCAGCCUCCCCUCCCCUCAAGAUCCAAGCCACGCUCGCCCGCUCGCCCCGCGCAAUGCCCCGCUCCUGACCAUGUCCUCGCUCUCGAUCCCGCCUCCGCUCCUGCGCUCCUCGCCGUCUCCGUCUCCACCCGCGAAUUGGAGGAGGCGCGCGGCGCGCGUGCGGGUGCGCGCUCCGGUGGCGGCACUGGCCGGCGACGGCGGGUGCGCGGGGACCGGGAUGGAGCAGCAGCACCUCCAGGCAGGGAGCGCCUCCGGCAGCCCAGGUUCGUUGGGACGGUGAUUCGGUUGGCUGCGGGGGUCCGCGUGUCAGUGACGCCAGAAUCUGUGGAAUCUCCGGAAGGGGUCGCUUAGGAUAGUGGGGCUGGAAUCUCGUGUCCUAUCCACUUCGCUGCUUUAUUAUCACACAAAGUAGGCUGAUAAGGGGUCGCCUAGUGCCAGCCUUCUGUGUCCCGAUCAGGAGCUGAUACUGAUCAAACGUAGUACUACUAGGACUCGAGGACGUUCACUGCUGCUAGAAAUAGAAUAGUGGUGGAACUAAAUUUGUGUGGAACUAUAAUUAAGCGUUUGAGCCAGUGGCACAAUUCACAGCAAUGCUGUUGGAUUUGUUAGUUUCGGUGGAGGGAAAGAAUGAACUCUGCGUAAUUGCUUGUGACAUGUAGUUUCGGUCUGAUGGACCUGAAGUCAUCUACUUGGUGUAUGAACUAGUGAAGGUACAGUUGCCUGUAUUGUAGAGGUAUAAUAUACCGGCAAUUUAUGGUGACUGCGCGUGACGUAGUUAUGGCCUCCGAUGAAAUGUGAGUUAACAUACUGCAGGCCAUGUAAGGAAUUUAGGACAAGGUUGGCACCUGCAAGGGGAAG